AUGAUGCAAUUAUUCCAUAAACCCUAGAAACGUAUAGCAGCUAUGGUUUGAGGCCUACAAUCAUAACCGUCUUGUUUGUCUGCGAUAUGAUUUAGUCGAAGCGCUCAAUGGUGCUCAAAGAAUUCUUUUGUGGAAGUCAUCAUCCUGAGUCGAAGUUGAUUCCAGAUCUUUGCUUCUUCAUAUUUAUGCAUCACAUUUUGUCAUUACACAACCUGUAACUGUAGUCAUCUCCCACAAACUCUGUAUUAACAAGAUUUCUAAUGCAUAUUGGAAGAAUAAUGAGAUUAGUUCAACAAACUUCCAUUUCUG
rnacentral:lncRNA from 1 species